AAAAAUAAUUAAUUUUUAUGAGACCCCAAUUCUAUAUAUAAUAAAAUAUAGUAGGACUAAAGCUCUUCACCCGGCUAUAGCAUCUUAGGUGGUAGUUAGAUCCAAGGGUUUAAAAAGGUUAAGCAUGUUAGAAUUAAAGUAGUUCUAGAAUGGGUGAUCUCUCUGGAAAGUUUGAGCGUCACAGUUGGUAUCUGAGCCAAUUAUCAGACGGAAUAAGUUGGAGCAUCACAGUUGGUAUCAAAGCUAAUUACCAGCCGGAAUUGUCAGAUGAGUCUCGGUUGAGUUAGAAUUAUACAGCAGAGAGAGUGAAGCUCUCCUACUGUUGACUAUUGUGGAUGGAGCGCGACUCCCCCAUAAGAUCAAUUAAGACUAGCGAGACGAUUUCGGUUAAAUAUUUUAUAUAUUAUUUCAUAUCUAUGCGUAUAUUUUGUAACG
rnacentral:lncRNA from 1 species